ensembl:misc_RNA 7SK 7SK RNA
GGUUGUGAGGGCAAUCUGGCUGUGACAUCGAUCAUCCCAUUAAUCAUCAGGGUUGAUUCAGCUGCUCUGGCUGACUAGGCGAGUCCCCUUCCUCCUUCAUGGCUCCACGCACACCCCUCCUGAAGAUAUGAUGAUGUGCCCUUGGUCAAAGAGGACAGCCUUCCCCCGAUAGAGAAGGACUGAUCUUGGUUGAGGGUAUACCAAUAGCCAUGCUCCCCUGCUAGAACUUUCAGAAAAGCUCUUAAGGUCCAUUUGUAGGAGAAAAUAGUCAAGCUUCCAAGGCUUCAGACACAUCCAAAUGAAGCACUGUAUGUGUCAGUCUGCCUUUCUUU